rnacentral:tmRNA from 1 species
GGGGCUGAUUCUGGAUUCGACGGGAUUUGCGAAACCCAAGGUGCAUGCCGAGGGGCGGUUGGCCUCGUAAAAAGCCGCAAAAAAUAGUCGCAAACGACGAAAACUACGCUUUAGCAGCUUAAUAACCUGCUUAGAGCCCUCUCUCCCUAGCCUCCGCUCUUAGGACGGGGAUCAAGAGAGGUCAAACCCAAAAGAGAUCGCGUGGAAGCCCUGCCUGGGGUUGAAGCGUUAAAACUUAAUCAGGCUAGUUUGUUAGUGGCGUGUCCGUCCGCAGCUGGCAAGCGAAUGUAAAGACUGACUAAGCAUGUAGUACCGAGGNAUCGCGUGGAAGCCCUGCCUGGGGUUGAAGCGUUAAAACUUAAUCAGGCUAGUUUGUUAGUGGCGUGUCCGUCCGCAGCUGGCAAGCGAAUGUAAAGACUGACUAAGCAUGUAGUACCGAGGAUGUAGGAAUUUCGGACGCGGGUUCAACUCCCGCCAGCUCCACCA